rnacentral:rRNA from 1 species
UACUAGAGUAGCACUCGCAUAUCAAUAAGCGGAGGAAAAGAAACUAACAAGGAUUCCCCUAGUAACGGCGAGUGAAGCGGGAAGAGCUCAAAUUUGAAAUCUUAAAGGGUUUCCCUUUACGAAUUGUAGUUUAAAGAAGUGUUUUCUGUUGAGGUUUUGGUAAAAGUUCUUUGGAAUAGGACAUCAUAGAGGGUGAGAAUCCCGUAUUUGACCUUUACUUUCAACUUUGUGAUACACUUUCAAAGAGUCGGAUUGUUUGGGAAUGCAGUCCAAAAUGGGUGGUAAAUUUCAUCUAAAGCUAAAUAUUGGCGAGAGACCGAUAGCGAACAAGUACCAUGAGGGAAGGAUGAAAAGAACUUUGAAAAGAGAGUUGAACAGUACGUGAAAUUGUCAAAAGGGAAGCGUUUGACACCAGUGUUGUUUUUCUGAAAAUCAAUUAAAGAACUGUUUAUGCUAAGCUUGUUUAGACUUUAUCAGCUAUCUGUUUAGUUUUAGGCUUUUCUUUAAUGCACUUUUCAGUUAACAAGUCAACAUCAAUUUCUUUUGCUGUAAAAAAGCUUGAGGAAGGUGGCUUGAGAUUCGUCUUAAGUGUUUAUAGCCUCUUGCCUAUGCAGUCGGAGAGAUUGAGGUCUGCAGCGUAGAUCCUUCGGGGCUAAAUGCAUUUGUGCUAAGUUAUAGCAUUUUAUAGACAACUUGUUGACUAUGAUUUGUCUUGUAGCUUACUCGCUUAUGUUAUUUUACCUACGCUUAGGAUGUUGAGCGCAUGUCUCUCUCU